rnacentral:lncRNA from 1 species
GGCUACAAUGAUUCCAACUCAAGUAGUCGUCUCUGAAAUGCUACUCAAGAGCCUGUACUGAUUCUAUGGCUUGAAGUUACCACAGAACCUAUGGAAUCACAAGAAUAGGGGUGAAGCAUAGCUGAGCAGACCUUCCCAACUACAGUGCCUGACAAUUCCUCAGAUGAAACAGAUGUGGUGAGAUGAACAGGAUUGUAAUAUCUGACUUCUUGAGAUGGUGUGGCUGGUCCCCGGCCCAAGCUGCUUGUCUGCCCUCCUCUCAACUACCACAACAUGGUUGUGAGCAUAGGAAUCCUUCACAGAUCAAGAACAUUUUUCACCUAACUUGUCCAGUCCUAUCUUCUGCCAUUCUUGGCACAACAAUAUUAAGCUACUGGCAUUUCUAGAACCUACUGUGUUCUUUUAAAUCUCUGUGUCCCUGAUCAAGCUGUGAUGUUAACACCACACCUACCUUCUUAUGAACACAGCUUGCUAUGUCAGGUCUCAGAUCAAAGGCAAUUGUCUCUGUGAUUUCUUCAAUAAACCCCUACAUAAAUCAGAGCAGUCCUUGUAGGGUCCCAUAUACUUUGUUUAUGUCAUUAUAAAAGUAAUAAUUACUCAAAUUAAAAUUAUUCAAUUUUAUAUUUCAUUAGCAUCUUCAUAUUAUACUCAACUCAUUCUGGACAGAAACAAUAUCUUCCCUACCUAAACUGGUGACUAGAUCAGACUAGAAACUCAAUAAAAUUUGUUUAAUUAAUUACUUAAUAACCGAUAUAAAAAUAAGUCCACAGGUUCCUUCUUUUCAGAUUUUUUUUGGCAAUGAAACCCCAUUAUAUAUGCCAUCUACCUAAUAAGUAAUCAUACCUUAAUAAGAAUGAUAACAUGCCUUCCCAGGAAUAUGCACUACUAUAUAAACAAAGUGUUCACCAUAGUUUCAAGAUCCCAUUUGAUAAUAAAAUUAAAGAAACAAACUUACAAAGCAAUCAAACAUUCUUUUAAAAAUGUUUGAAAUAAGAAAAAAUCCUAUACUCUUUAAAAAAUUAUAUUGAUUAUUCUUCCUUUCAUGAUAUUUAUUUCAGUGUUUUAUAAUUUAAACACUUAGAGUUAAGUGACAACAUGAAUAUAAGGUAAAAGAACAGAAAUUUUUCUACUUUAUGUUUAACAGUAGAAUCUUCCAAAAGGAAAUACCAAAGCACUAAACCAUUUUCAAUUAAUUGCCAUCAAAGGGGCUUUUGUAUGCUCCUUUCAGUUAGGGUUUUCAAAUUCAUAUUCAGAAAGUUCUGAUACUGCUUUAUUUUUAAGCAACUUAAACUUGAAUUAUUUUGAAAAACAUAAUCACAAGGAAACAUUAAGAAUAUGCCUAAAAUUAUUGCCAUUCAGGGAAUAUCUUAGAUACUUGUAUACCUAACAUAAAUAUUUUCUUAAAAUGUCUUGGAAAAUGUCUUGGAAAACAGGACUUUAGAAAUUAUUUUUCUAUGGUUAAUUGUACAGCACUUAUUUACACUGCACGUAAACUUUUUCUUCUAUCACUUCUCAAAGAUACCCAAGAGUCUAGCAAUAUAAAAUGAAUCCCAUAAAAUUCAGAGAGGAACUUUUAUACUGAAGGCUUAUAAAAGUCUAGACAUGUUGUUUAGUGAAAGUGAUUUGUGUGGAAUUAGAGAAUAAGCACGGGGAGCCACACAGGGGUCACCAGGAAAACUUUAUCAAAGUUAUCUCAUUUUGCUUUGCCUUGAACAGUGACAGGAUAAAUAUCCUUGUAAUAAUAUUCCUUUCUUGCUCAUAAUUACUUUCUUUUGAAAAAUAUUUAGAAUUUUGGGUGAAAACACAUACAAAAUUCAAAGGUUUUGAUCUAUGUUCCCAAAUUAUUCUUCAGAAACUUUUCAUACAUUUUGUAUACCCUCAAUGGUAUAUGGCUAUUUGUUUUAUGUAUUCUCAUCAAAAUUAUGUGUUAUUUUUAAAGAAUAUUUACCUCUUGAUCACUGAAAGAUAUGUCAUAUUUAAUUCACAUUUUUGAUUUGUGAAGUUUAUGUUCACCAGCUAUUUGUAUCUAUGCAAGAGUACAUAAGUGAUUAUCUGAAAAUUUUCUCAGUGUGGAAAAACUGAAUGUUUACCUCUCUUGUGAAUUUCAAAGGCUUUGUAUAUAGU